GACGAACGCUGGCGGCGUGCUUAACACAUGCAAGUCGAACGGAAAGGCCCUGCUUUUGUGGGGUGCUCGAGUGGCGAACGGGUGAGUAACACGUGAGUAACCUGCCCUUGACUUUGGGAUAACUUCAGGAAACUGGGGCUAAUACCGGAUAGGAGCUCCUGCUGCAUGGUGGGGGUUGGAAAGUUUCGGCGGUUGGGGAUAGACUCGCGGCUUAUCAGCUUGUUGGUGGGGUAGUGGCUUACCAAGGCUUUGACGGGUAGCCGGCCUGAGAGGGUGACCGGCCACAUUGGGACUGAGAUACGGCCCAGACUCCUACGGGAGGCAGCAGUGGGGAAUAUUGCACAAUGGGCGGAAGCCUGAUGCAGCAACGCCGCGUGCGGGAUGACGGCCUUCGGGUUGUAAACCGCUUUCGCCUGUGACGAAGCGUGAGUGACGGUAAUGGGUAAAGAAGCACCGGCUAACUACGUGCCAGCAGCCGCGGUGAUACGUAGGGUGCGAGCGUUGUCCGGAUUUAUUGGGCGUAAAGGGCUCGUAGGUGGUUGAUCGCGUCGGAAGUGUAAUCUUGGGGCUUAACCCUGAGCGUGCUUUCGAUACGGGUUGACUUGAGGAAGGUAGGGGAGAAUGGAAUUCCUGGUGGAGCGGUGGAAUGCGCAGAUAUCAGGAGGAACACCAGUGGCGAAGGCGGUUCUCUGGGCCUUUCCUGACGCUGAGGAGCGAAAGCGUGGGGAGCGAACAGGCUUAGAUACCCUGGUAGUCCACGCUGUAAACGGUGGGUACUAGGUGUGGGGUCCAUUCCACGGGUUCCGUGCCGUAGCUAACGCUUUAAGUACCCCGCCUGGGGAGUACGGCCGCAAGGCUAAAACUCAAAGGAAUUGACGGGGCCCCGCACAAGCGGCGGAGCAUGCGGAUUAAUUCGAUGCAACGCGUAGAACCUUACCUGGGUUUGACAUGGAUCGGGAGCGCUCAGAGAUGGGUGUGCCUCUUUUGGGGUCGGUUCACAGGUGGUGCAUGGCUGUCGUCAGCUCGUGUCGUGAGAUGUUGGGUUAAGUCCCGCAACGAGCGCAACCCUUGUUCACUGUUGCCAGCACGUUAUGGUGGGGACUCAGUGGAGACCGCCGGGGUCAACUCGGAGGAAGGUGGGGAUGACGUCAAGUCAUCAUGCCCCUUAUGUCCAGGGCUUCACGCAUGCUACAAUGGCUGGUACAGAGAGUGGCGAGCCUGUGAGGGUGAGCGAAUCUCGGAAAGCCGGUCUCAGUUCGGAUUGGGGUCCGCAACUCGACCUCAUGAAGUCGGAGUCGCUAGUAAUCGCAGAUCAGCAACGCUGCGGUGAAUACGUUCCCGGG
rnacentral:rRNA from 1 species